UACGUGAGGGGCAAGCGUUGUCCGGAUUUAUUGGGCGUAAAGAGCGUGUAGGCGGCUUGGCAAGUCCGCUGUGAAAACUUGAGGCUUAACCUCGAGACGUCGGCGGAAACCAUCUGGCUAGAGUCCGGAAGAGGAGAGUGGAAUUCCUGGUGUAGCGGUGAAAUGCGCAGAUAUCAGGAAGAACACCCGUGGCGAAGGCGGCUCUCUGGGACGGUACUGACGCUGAGACGCGAAAGCGUGGGGAGCGAACAGG
rnacentral:rRNA from 1 species